rnacentral:rRNA from 1 species
AGGACGAACGCUGGCGGCGUGCUUAACACAUGCAAGUCGAGCGAGGCCCGUCCUUCGGGACGGUGCCCUAGCGGCGAACGGGUGAGUAACACGUGGGCAACCUGCCCCUAGCACUGGGAUAACUCCGGGAAACCGGGGCUAAUACCGGAUAUGACCUUUGAGGGCAUCCUCGAAGGUGUAAAGGAUUCUGGCUAGGGAUGGGCCCGCGGCCUAUCAGCUUGUUGGUGGGGUAACGGCCUACCAAGGCGACGACGGGUAGCCGGCCUGAGAGGGCGACCGGCCACACUGGGACUGAGACACGGCCCAGACUCCUACGGGAGGCAGCAGUGGGGAAUAUUGCACAAUGGGCGAAAGCCUGAUGCAGCGACGCCGCGUGAGGGAUGACGGCCUUCGGGUUGUAAACCUCUUUCAGCAGGGACGAAGCGAAAGUGACGGUACCUGCAGAAGAAGCACCGGCCAACUACGUGCCAGCAGCCGC